GACAAUCACCACAUACACGGAGAUUCUUUAUGAUACGUAAAGGUGUUCUGGCAGGAGUACUAAUCAGACCAUAUGCAAUGGCUAAACGUUCGCUAUGGUAUAGCAAAGCCUGUUCCUUGGCUUCCUGAUCGAUAUCAUGAAGGACAUAUCUGGUAUCAGGAACGUAAGCUUGUUCUUUCAUCGCAGCCCUCAACUUCUCGUCAUCCUUGAAGAGGGUUGGGUUGCGAAAUUCAGCAACUCUAUUUCUUCCCUCAAGCAUAUUAAUGGCUAACUGCUUCUUUACUGGUGGAGUGGGAAUCUUAUUAGCAGCCUUAGAAGGGUCAAGUCCUACCAUCAACUCCUCAGCUCGAUCCUCAAGAUCAAUAUCGCCAUGUAUACGAGCAUAAUUCAUUAAUGCUUCCCAGACGGCUUCUGUUGGUUCAAAUGGAAGCUUUGAGAUAUAUUCCUCUGCCUCAGCAAGAUGUCCACAUUUUCCUAGAACACCCAGAAGUCCUAAAUAGUGCUCCACCUGUGGAGAAAUUCCAUACUCAGCCAUCAUUGACUCAAAAUGCAUGAAAGCCUCAUCAAUAGCAUCUGCA
rnacentral:misc_RNA from 1 species